GAUGAAGAACGUAGCGAAAUGCGAUAAGUAAUGUGAAUUGCAGAAUUCAGUGAAUCAUCGAAUCUUUGAACGCACAUUGUGCCCCCUGGUAUUCCGGGGGGCAUGCCUGUUCGAGCGUCAUUACAACCCUCAAGCUCUGCUUGGUAUUGGGCCCCGCCAGUUCUGGCGGGCCCUAAAGUCAGUGGCGGUGCCUUCCGGCUCCGAGCGUAGUAAUUCUUCUCGCUCUGGAGACCCGGUUGUGUGCUUGCCAACAACCCCCAAUUUUUUAAGGUUGACCUCGGAUCAGGUAGGGAUACCCGCUGAACUUAAGCAUAUCAAUAAGCGGAGGA
rnacentral:misc_RNA from 1 species